rnacentral:lncRNA from 1 species
ACUCGCGUACGCGCAGGUUCCUGCCGACCCGGAAGCGGAUCUCGCGGGGCUACUGGCGCUCUCGGCCCACACAAUAUGACCUCGGGGAGGAUGCGAGGAAGAUGAACUGUGAUGAUCCACUUCUUCUUAAUGAAUGACUGACUUACCUGAGAAAGAAACUCAGAGGAAGAGGAAAGAAAGAAGAGGAGGGAAUGGCUCUUUCUCAGAGACAGCUUGAGUUUUUACUUUCUCAUUGGAGCAUUCUCUUACUGAAGACACAUUGGUUGUUUACAGUUUUUCUCCAUUACAAAGAAUCCGCAUUGGCUGCCUCUGAGCAGGCCAACUGUACUACAGCUGUGUGAGGAUUCCUCCAGGUUGGGCAAUUUGAAGCAUGAUUACUGGCUUAAUGAUGCUUCUGAGGAAGCUCAGACAUUACACUUACUAAAAAAUACUUUAAAUCAACUAUCUUAACCAUGCUUAGAGAGCUGAAGUAAACGGUGGACAAAGAACUAAAGGAAAGUAGGACAACAGUGUUUCAACGAAUAUCAGUAAAAACAUAGAAAUUAUUAAAAAGAAG